ACAGGGGGUGCGAGCGUUAAUCGGAAUUACUGGGCGUAAAGGGCGCGUAGGCGGUCGAGUAAGUCGGAUGUGAAAUCCCCGGGCUUAACCUGGGAAUUGCAUUCGAUACUGCUUGGCUAGAGUGUGGAAGAGGGAAGCGGAAUUUCCGGUGUAGCGGUGAAAUGCGUAGAUAUCGGAAGGAACACCAGUGGCGAAGGCGGCUUCCUGGUCCAACACUGACGCUGAGGCGCGAAAGCGUGGGGAGCAAACAGGAUUAGAUACCCUGGUAGUCCACGCUGUAAACGAUGAGAACUAGAUGUUGGGGGGUAUAACCCCUCAGUGUCGCAGCUAACGCGUUAAGUUCUCCGCCUGGGGAGUACGGCCGCAAGGUUG
rnacentral:rRNA from 1 species